AAAACUCAGGGCCUUGUUGCCUCUUGUGAACACGACUCUCGUAAACUGCAGGAAAAUUAAAUUUAUUUUUAUUGGUGAAUCUCUGUAGAUAUGGUGAAUGAAAGGUUGAGUAAAUGAUGGCACAUCU